rnacentral:rRNA from 2 species
UACGGGGGGAGCAAGCGUUGUUCGGAUUUACUGGGCGUAAAGGGCGCGUAGGCGGCCACCGCAAGUCAAUUGUGAAAUCUCCGGGCUCAACCCGGAACGGUCAACUGAUACUGCGGGGCUAGAGUGCAGAAGGGGCAACUGGAAUUCUCGGUGUAGCGGUGAAAUGCGUAGAUAUCGAGAGGAACACCUGCGGCGAAGGCGGGUUGCUGGGCUGACACUGACGCUGACAGCGCGAAAGCUAGGGGAGCGAACGGG